AAACUUCUCCGACCUGCUGAAUGGCAGUGAAAGUACAACACCAGGAGAUGGCGAACCCGAUUCCCCUAUCGAUGACGAUGGAACAGAUGUUCCAUUACCCGACCAUGAAGAAAUUCGAAUAGCAAUUACCCGCCUAAAGAACAACAAAGCGGCGGGGCCGAUAGAUUACCGGUCAAACUAUUCAAAUACGGCGGCGAAGAACUGAUAAGGUGCAUGCAUCAGCUUCUUUGCAGAAUAUGGUCGGAAGAAAGCAUGCCUCACGAUUGGAAUCUCUGUGUGCUCUGCCCAAUCCAUAAAAAGGGAGAUCCCACAAUCUGCGCCAAUUACCGUGGGAUAAGCCUCUUAAAUAUCGCAUACAAGGUUCUAUCGAGCGUACUAUGCGAAAGACUAAAGCCCACCGUCAACAAACUGAUUGGACCUUAUCAGUGUGGCUUUAGACCUGGAAAAUCGACAACUGACCAGAUAUUCACCAUGCGCCAAAUUUUGGAGAGACCCGUGAAAAUAGGAUCGACACACACCAUCUAUUUGUCGACUUUAAAGCUGCUUUCGACAGCACGGAAUGGAGCUGCCUUUAUGCCGCGAUGUCUGAAUUUGGUAUCCCCGCCAAACUAAUACGGCUGUGCAAGUUGACGCUGAGCAACACUAAAAGCUCGGUCAUGAUUGGGAAGGACCUCUCCGAGCCGUUCGAUACCAAACGAGGUUUCAGACAAGGUGACUGACUAUCGUGCGACUUCUUUAAUUUGAUGCUGGAAAAAAUAAUACGAGCUGCAGAGCUAAAUAGAGAAGGUACAAUCUUCUAUAAGAGUGUACAGCUGCUGGCAGCAACAACCGCGCCGUUUGUUCUGCUUUUUCCCGCAUGGAUAAGGAGGCGAAGCGAAUGGGUCUGGAGGUGAAUGAGGACAAGACGAAAUAUCUCCUGUCAUCAAGCAAACAGUCGGCGCAUUCGCGUCUUGGCUCCCACGUCACUGUUGACAGUCAUAACUUUGAAUUCGUAGAUAAUUUCGUAUACCUGGGAACCAGUAUCAACAACACCAACAAUGUCGGCCUCGAAAUCCAGCGCAAAAUCACUCUUCCCAACAGGUGCUACUUUGGACUCAAUAGGCAAUUGAAAAUUAAAGUCUUCUCUCGGCGAACCAAAAUCAAACUCUACAAGUCGCUUACCAUUCCCGUCCUGGGGCAGAAGCUUGGACGAUGUCAACAUCAGAUGAGACUAGGAGUUUUCGAGAGGAAAAUUUUGCGCAAGAUUUAUGGUCCUCAGAACAUUGGCUAAGGCGAAUACCGCAGACGAUGGAACGAUAAGACGAUGACCUAGCCAGCGUAGCCGCUGUCUUUUUAUUCGCUGAACUAUGUCAAUGUCGUCGUAUAAAUCGUACGGCUUAUCGUUCCAUCGUCUGCGGUAUUCGCCGUAGCCAAUGUUUAGAGGACCAUAAAUCUUGCGCUGAACCUUUCUCUCGAAAACCCCAAGAGUCGUCUCAUCUGAUGUUGUCAUCGUCCGAGCUUCAGCGCCAUACAUCAGGACAGGAAUAAUAAGCGACUUAUAGAUUUUGAUUUUGGUUCGUCGAGAGAGGACUGUACUUUUCAAUUGCCUACAAAGUCCGAAGUAGCACCUGUUGGCUAGAGUGAUUCUGCGUUGGAUUUCGAUGAUGACAUUGUUGGUGUUGUUAAUGCUGGUUCCCAAGUAGACGAAACUAUCUACAACUUGAAAGUUAUUACUGUCAACAGUGACGUGGGAGCCAAGAUGCGAGUGCGCUGUCUGUUUGUUUGAUGACAGGAGAUAUUUCGUCUUGCCCUCAUUCACAACCAGACCCAUACGCGACGCUCUCUUAUCAAGUAUGGAAAAAGCAGAACAAACGGCGCGGUUGUUGCUUCCGAUGAGAUCAAUAUCAUCGGCGUACACCAGCAGCUGUACCUGACGGAGCUUUUGGUAUUGCUCAACGUCAGUUUACAUAGCCGUAUUAGUUUUGAGGGGAUACCAAAUUCAGACAUCGCGGCAUAGAGGGAGCGUGUUUUCACACAACACGCUUGACAGGACUUUAUGUGCGAUAUUGAGGAGAUUUAUACCACGGUAGUUGGCGCAGAUUGUGGGGUUUCCCUAUUAAUGGAUUAAGCAGAGCACACUGAGAUUUCAAUCGUCAGACAUGCUUUCUUGAGGACAUAUUCUGCAAAGAAGCUGAUGCAUGCACACUAUCAGUUCUUCACCGCCGUAUUUGAAUAGCUCGACCCCCGUCGCUUUGUUGGUCUUCAAGCGGGCAAUUGCUAUUCGAAUUUCUUCAUGGUCGGGUAAUGGAGCAUCUAUUCCAUCGUCAUCGUUUGGGGAAUCGGGUUCGCUAUCUCCUGGCGUUGUACUUUCACUGCCAUUCAGCAGGUCGGAGAAGUUUUCCCUCCAUAACCGCCAGUAUGCUCUGGACAUCCGUUACCAGAUUACCUCCUCGGUCCUUACAUGAUAAUGCUACGGUCUUGAAACCUUCUGUAAAUCGCCACAUCUUUUCAUAAAUUUUUUAAGCAUUACCCAUGGCGGCCAGCUUUUCAUACUCACUCAUUUCGGCCUCUUUCUUUUUUAUUUCUGCAAAUGCGCCUCGCUUCCCUUUUCAGUUCUCGAUAUCUAUCCCACCCCAAACGUGUUGUGGUCGAUCGCAACGGUGCGACGUAUGCAGUCUGUUUUCUCUCAACUGCGGAACGACAAUUUUCAUCGUACCAAUUGGUUUUUUUGGCGUUGCCGGAAACCAAUUGUUUAGGCUUCAGCGGUAUGCAAUGAGCUUAAGAUGCCGUUCCACAGAUCCCUUAUAUCGAGAAGCUGAUGAGUGCUCUCAGAGAGCAGGAGUGCAAGUCGAGUAUUUUUUGGCUAUCUGUUGUAAUUGCAGCUUUUCGACGUCUAAUCUUCCUUGUAUUGGCGGGGGUUCUUUGCUGCUCCUAGAUAAUGGUCCGAGUCAAUAUUUGGUCCAUGGAUACAUGUCUUCCGUCUAUUACAACGUGAUCGAUUUGAUUGCGCGUGUUUCGAUCAGGGGACAGCCACGUAGCUGAUGAAUUUUCUUGUGUUGGAAUCUGAUACUACAGACAACCAUAUUUCGGGUCCCAGCGAAGUCGAUUAGCCCCUGGCCGUUUGGCGAUGUUUCAUCAUGGAGGUUGAAUUUUCCGACUGUUGUGCCAAAGGCACCUUCUUUACCCACCCGGUCGUUAAAAUCAUAGAAAGCAUCUUUGGUCACAUCGUUCUUCUCUUCCGUUGGGGCGUGGGCGCAAAUCAGCGAUAUGUUGAAGAACCUCGCAUUGAUGCGGAUUGUGGCAAGACGUUCAUCCACCGGGGUGAAUGCCAGGACUCUGCGACGGAGUCUCUCUCCCACCACAAAUCCACCACCAAAUUUGCGCGCCCUUAAUUUUGCCGCUCUAGUAGAUGUCACAAGGACCCACCUUCUUCCGGCCUUGUCCCGUCCAUCGCACUUCUUGGAUGGCGGUGAUGCUAGCCUUUAGUUGUAUGAGGAUAUCAACCAGCUGGCCAGAGGCUCCUUCCCAAUUAAGGGUCCGGACAUUCCAGGUGCAUGCCCUCAAUUCGUGAUCCUUAAAACGUUUGCAGAGGUCGUCAUGUGGGUUUUCUCAUCUGAGGCUCUGUUUGGUCCAGCAUUGGGGAGGUUUUUUUAUGCAACCGCAGAAGCGGACUUCUCACAUUAGCUCGCCUUCAAAUGGAUAGCAGUUGGCUACCCAGAGGAUACUUGUCUAAAACAUGAAGUCGUGAGCUGCUUGAACCAUUAGGAGAAGAAUCGUUCCUGGCCUCUCCCAAGUGAAUGGCAAUCAGAAACUUUGCUCACUUGCGACUGCAAUUACAAAUGCUAAGCGGCUUAGAAAAUACUAAGGGAAUCAUUGGGAUCAUGAAGAAUUACAAUAUCAUCUUAAAAACGUGGCUUCAAAAAUGCUGGUUAUUAUAUUUUAUAAUUUUAUUUCGAAGCUAAAUUAUACACAAGUUUAGGUUAGGUUGGUUUGGUAAGCCUGCAGGUCACGCAUAUACCAGUUAUGGUCCUUUGCGAUACCAGAAUGGAGCGCCUUCACAUGUUCCCUGGGUAGUAGUCAUCGUUUAGGAUGCCUGCGCCUGACGUGAAUUUUAAUAGUUUAUGAGGUUUCACUAACGAUAUCUCCUCUAAGUUAUCGUAUUGUGGGGCCCCUAAGUACCUAAAACUCUGUCUCGCUAACGUAGGACAAACGCACAAGAGAUGCUCCACUGUUUCCUUGGUGCCCCGCUCUUGACAUUUUCUGCAUUCCUCUCGAUCUGACAGCCCCAUCUUAUAGGCAUGUGCCGCUACUAGGCUGUGACCGGCACACUAUCGAGCUCCAGUAGGAACCUUGUAUAUUUUUGAUCUACCGCUUUGCACAUAACCUAUGUAGUUUUACACCCCGGUAUAUCCUUCCAGCGAAAUAUGAGUUUUCUUGCCUUGCAAAUGUCUAUGUCGUCGUACAACUGUACACCACUCUUGGCAAUCCCGUCCACGAUUUCGAUUCCCUCGAUGCCUCUAUGGCCUGGCACCUAUUAGAAGUGUAGCCUCAUAUUCCUGGCGAUCCUCUCCACCGCUGCCCUGCUGCCCAAGACACUUUUGGCCAAUAUUCGACACGAGGUUACUGCCUUGAUUGCUGAUUAGCUGUCUACGUAGAUGUUAAUUUUAGAGUAUUGGGCUUGUGCAUUGGCCUUUUGCCUUCCCUUUUCCCAACCAUACUUUUCCUUGUUUACCGUGAACUCUCUUUCCUAGUUGUAAGUACAUAAGUUUGAGUUGGUUAAAAUAUUUUUUUUUAAUUAACUUAAAGAUAUGAGAUUUUAAAAUCCACUUUCUUUACAUAUUUGAAACAAAAAUUAAUUGAAAAUGAAUAGAGCAACUUGUUCCAAUGCGUCUUUUACCAUGAUAUUGUCAUAUCAUUCUUGGCAAACGUAAUGCUUUCUGAUACAUCAACAGUUUUUUAUGGUUGUGGCUUUAACUUUAUGCCCAGCUUUAAGGAAUUAUAAAGCUUUAAGAACAUUUAUCGAUAUUGACAACUCUGAUGUCAAAUUCGCUGUAUCGAUUUUUAGUAGCAUGCGUUGUAAUAUUGUUCUUCUAUAAAAAAAAAAUUAACAAGUAAAGAAGGGGUAAGUUCGGGUGUCACCGAACAUUUUAUACUCUCGCAAUUUAUUUAUUUAAGGGGAAGUUAUGACCCGAUUUAACUAAUUUUUUGGCACGGAGACAUAUUAUUAUAAGAAAUAUAUUCCCUCUGAAUUUCUUCAAAAUAUCUGAGAGACUUAACUAUAUUUUCGGUAAAAAAUUUGUUAGAAGCACUGAGGUCCUCAUAUUCGAUAUAUAGGGCCAAGAAAACUUAUGGACCGAUUUCGACGAUAUGUAGAAGGGCGAUGCCACUCAAAUGCAGUAUUUUUGCAAUGUUUUGUUCCGAUAUCUUCACUAGUGCUUACUUUAUAUAUUGUAAAUACAACGGUUCAGAUCGACUUCAAAGUUCUGGUAUAUGGGACGAAGGCGCGGUUGUGAACUGAUUUGGACUAUUUUCCCAACAUAUCAUUGAGAGGGGAGGAAGAUAUUAUAAACCGAAUUUCACUGAAAUUGGUCGAGUAGUUUCGGAGAUAUGGUUUUUGAUCCAUAAGUGAGCGGAAUCACGACCAUUUAAAAUUGUGUAUACCAUUUUGAGUGCAGCUCUUCUGUACCAUCUUUAUAAUGAAAUUUAAGGAAAUAAUGAAGUUUAAGGUUAAGGUGGUUUUUCUUACUGAAUUAAUACUACGUUCGGACCGACAUUGAAAACAUGUUUUCAUUGAAAAAAUGGGUUUUCGUUCGAAAACUUGUGUUUUCAUCCAUGCAAAAUCUGUCAAACGAAAUCACAGUUUUCGCUGAAAACUUACAUUCUACUUAUUAUAAUCGAUGUCUGCUCCAGUUUAGUUCUUUUAGUUUUGCCAAAUUGUCAGUAUUUGUUUACAUUAAAAAAAAAUGGAGAAAAACAAAAGUACAAAAAAAGAAAUUCCUAGGAUGAGAGGGAGGUAGCGCUCCUAAUUGAAUUGUGGCAAAAUAAGUGUGUACUCUUCGCAGGCCCAGAAAAAAUAGCAACAUUUUAGAAGAAAUGGCAAUGGAGUUGCAGCAACAAGGUGUUCUAUUCACAGCGAUCGAAAUUGAAACUAAGGUGCAUAAUCUGUCGUAAAAAUUUAGGAAGGAGAAAACAUCAGUCGGUUCAACUGGCGGUUCCCCCUCGCAGUGGCAUGUAUACCAGAAAAUUAGCUCCGUACUAUCCCCAUAUGUUAGCUACAAAUGCAAAUUUCGGUGGAAACGGUCGCGACACCUUCAUUUGUUGCUGAAUAUCCAUUGUCAUCACCGGUUUGCAUACCUUCGCCCUCAGAGAUCAUGAUGUCGCCAACCGAGCCUUCAUCAUUCACCAUGUCAUCAUCAGAGCCGAGUGAAUCUGUAAAUAGAAAAAUAAAUCAUUUUCAGAGCAUAAUGUUAAAAAAAAUUUAAAAACAGCUUGAAAAAGCAAAUCAGGAUUUCAAUGAAAAUAUAUUAAAACAAGUAAGGAAAGGCUAAGUUCGGGUGCAACCGAACAUUUUAUACUCUCGCAAUUUAUUGAAGAAUCUUACAAGCAUACAAAAUUUACCCAUAAAUUCGGCAUAACUAUAUGAGGGCUGAGGUAAUUCUUUCAUUUUCACCAGCAGGGUACACUAUAUCCAAGGCUAUACGCUCACUUAAUUUUGCAAACAUAUCUCACAUAUUAACCAAUACAUAUAUGUGGAAUAAAGCCCACCGUAUUUUUGAAAAAUCUAUAAUUAGGUAUCUGGGAGCUAGGAGAUGUUAUGACCCAAUUUUAAUAAUUUUUUUAACAGAACACUAUUAGAAGAAAACAAUUUCCUCUGAAUUACAUUAAAUUAUCUAAGAGAUUUACCCAAAUAUUCGGUUAAAAUUUACCCUUAGGCGCUGAGUUCAACAUGUUCGAUAUCUGGGGCCUUGGAAAGUUAUUGUCAGUUUUCGAUAAUUUUUUCACAAGUGAAGUCAGAGAUUAUAUGUACUAUUUGUGUAAAGUUUUAUUUCAUUGGUUCCUUAUGUAUACAUGAUAAAGUGAAGGAUUGAAUGUUAAAUUGAGUUAUAUGGGAAGUAGGUUGUGAACCGAUUUCGCCCAUAUUCCACCCGUGUCAUCAGGGUGUCAAGAAAGUGUUAUAUAUCAAAUUUCAUUAAAAUCUGUCGAGUAGUUCCUGAGAUAUGGUUUUUGACCCAUCAGUGGGCGAUGCCACGCCAAUUUUUCAUUUUGUAAAAAAAUCUAAGUGAAGAUUUCUUCUGCUAUUUCUUCUGUAAAAUUUAGUGUAUCUGACGUUUUUCGUUAGUGAGUUAACCCACUUUUAGUAAUUUUCAACCUAACAUUUGUAUGGGAGGUGGGCGUUGUUAUUGUCCGAUUUCUACUAUUUUCAUGGUGUGUGGUGGGGUACGUAAGAGAACCGACUGCGGUUUAUAUAGAUUUAAAUAUAGGGCCACGCCUACUUACCCAAAAAAACUAGUGCGAUCCCUUAUUCCAAAUUUUACUUUUAUAACUUUAUUUAUGGCUUAGUUAUGACACUUUAUGUGUUUUUGGUUUUCGCCAUUUUGUGGGCGUGGCAAUGGUCCGAUUUCGAAGGCAACCCUCUCACUGCUCCAAGGAACAGGUGUUCCAAGUUUCAUUAAGAUAUCUUAAUUUUUACUCAAGUUACAGCUUGCACAGACGGACGGACAGAAAAAUUAAUUGAAAACGACAAUAAAAAAUACAAAUGAUGGAAGAGAAUGUAAAAAACGCAAAAGAAAUGAACAAAUUACUGCUUGAAUUUAUCAGCAAAUAAAAAAUAAAUGAAUAAUUUUUCUUUUUGGAGAAAUAAUAAAGUAUAAAAAAAUUAUUUUACUUACCUAAAUAUGUAGAAAGUGCUGCCCGUAUCGUUUCACCAUUAAUUGGGUCGUCAGAUUCAUAUGAAACAUGACUCGGAUUUUGGCGUCUAGCCUACAACUCUUCCAAAGCGCGCAACCAUUUAGCGUUGAGAGUAUCGUUGUUUUCAUUUAGAAAGUUGUGAAGGACACAACGGGCUUUUAUUUUUAAAUUGACAUUCCUGCGAGAGUUGUCAAUUCCUUUUCCAAUCGUCGAAAGCGGGCCUUGAGGUGACCAAAAGCAUUUUCGACAACUCUACGUGCUUUCGAAAGAGCGUAAUUGAAUUACUUCUCACGAUGAAUUUAAUUUACGCUAAAUCGAAAAGUCGAAUCCCCAAUAAUAAAUACAGGCACAUUUACGCCUGAAAUUUCUCGAGACAUCUCUUAUCAUCAUACUCUUAGUAAAGGACAAUUCUCAAUUUCUCGCUUAAGUGACGACGUCUUAUAAAUUUGAGACUCAUUACAUCGCCCGGGUCUUCCGACGUUUAUGUAAGUAAAACGGUAUCUGAAAAUACAUUGCACACAUUACAUAUAUACUUCUAUGUAUUAUAUAAUGCGUUUCCAUAUUUUACUUUGCAUCAACUAAUGCCAUUAAAACGGUGGAAUACCACCCUUUGUAAUUGUAAUAAUCCACAUCUUGUUCAAAUGAUGGGUGAACCUCAAUGUCGCAUCCGUCUGUAAACAAUUAUUAGGUCAACGUUGUAAAUUUAAGAAUUUAUAACUAAUAUUUACCAAUUGCUCCUAAGCAUUCUGGGAAUCUCAGUACCUCUAAAUCAUUCACCAAUUCUGUUAUACUUUCUCUAUUUAGUGGAAACAUCUCCAGAUUUCAGUGCAGAAUUCCAACAAAAUUUUACAAACCGUAGAUUUUCCUACACCGAACAUAUUAGCGAUACUACGAUACUCUGCAGAUGAGCCUAAAGCAAAUAUUGCUAUAUCCACUCUUUUCGCGAGCGUAAUAGCUUUUCGGUAGUUCGUAUCCAUUUUUUGUAGAAGCCUACACAAAAUUUUGUCCAACAUGAUUUAAUCGGCGUCCCAAGUUCCUUUAUUAUACCUAAUAGGAUUAAACGUUGUUUGUUCAACUCUUCUAUAUUUUUUGCAAUGUGCUGGGUAGUAAUCUCCAUCAAUUCUCUUGAAGAAUCAUCGUUGCGCAAGGUAUUUAUAUGGCUUUUCAAACCCAAUACCUUCAUUAUUAAAAUUUUCUUGUCGUGAUUCUAUAAAACACGAUCAUUAAUAAUAAUUAUAAGCAAAUAUUAAAAAUUCUAAAACUUACCAUUUUCGUUGCUCAAAAUGUAAAUAUACAAAUAAAUUUGUGAAUUGUCAGUGAAAACACAUCGAAAACACAAAAUGUCGGUCAGAACGACUUUGAUUCCACAAUCCAGAAAUUGUGCUUUCAAGAGGUUUUCAAUGUCAAUCCGAACGUAGUUUAAGGUAUUUUUAGUAGUUUUCAACAUAACCUUUGUAUGGGAGGUGUUUAUAAUCCGAUUAUAAUCGUAUAAGGUAUUACAUAUUAUAAAGUUCUGCACCGAUAUCUUCACUAUUGCUUACUUUAUAUAUUGUAAAGUAAACGAUUCAGAUUGUCUUCAAAGUUCUGGUAUAUAGGAAAUAGGCGUGGUUGUGAAGCGAUUUGGCCUAUUUUCACAACAUGUCAUUGGGAUGUAAGGAAACUAUUACAAACCAAGUUUCAUUGAAAUCGGUCGAGUAGUUCCUGAGAUAUUUUCCAUUUUGUAAAAAAAUCUGAGUGCAGCUUUCAUCUGCCAUUUCUUAUGUGAAAUUAAUGUUUCUGGCGUUUUUCGUUAGUGAGUUAACCCAUUUUUAGUAGUUUUCAACAUAACCUUUGUAUGGGAGGUGGGCGUGGUUACAAUCUGAUUUCCUCCAUUUUUGGACUGUAUAAGGUAUUACAUAAAAAAACGACUCUUGAAAGUCUCCUUGAUAUAGCUUUAGUAGUUUACGAGAUGUGUACCAAAAACUUAGUAAGCGACGGGGCCUCGCCCAUUUUCCCAAAAAAUUACAUCCACAUAUGCCCCUUCAUAUUGCGCUCCUUCAUACCAAAUUUUACUUCCAUAGCUUAAUUUAUGACUUAAUUAUAUCUCUUUAUAUGUUUUCGGUUAUUGCCAUUUGUGGGCGUGGAAAUGGCCCGUUUACGCCCAUUUUCGCCCAUUUUCGAACUAAACUUCCUUAUGGUACCAAGAAAUACGUCUUCCAAGUUUCAUCAAUAUAUCUCAAUUUUUACUCAAGUUACAGCUUGACGGACGGACGGACAGACAGAAAUCCGGAUUUCAAAUCUACUCGUCACCCUGAUAUAUCUAACUCGUUUGGUUUUAGGUUUUACAACCAAUCGUUAUGUGAACAAAACUAUAAUACUAUCUUCAGCAACUUUUUUGCGAGAGUAUAAAAAUAAAAUUAUGGUUUGAUCAAAAUGUUUACUAACAGGGGUUGGAUUUGUUUAUUUAAUUGGGAAGUGAUGCUGCUUUAUCCAAGUACAAAAUGAUAUUAAUAUUUCGAUUUUGAAAUCGCAUUUUCCUUCUUAACUACUGAAGCCCUACAGUCAUGAUUGUUAGAUUUAAAAUCCUCUGGAACUUUAUUCAAAUCAUGCUGUUUAAAUAAUCGAGGACAUACUAAUUUAGCUCGACCCAAAGCAGCUCAUUUUUCCCAGUCAUGUUUAAACAAAAUAAUAUUGUGAGCAUUUGCUUGCGUAACUUACUGGCAACGUAUUUUUCGAUCUUAAGAGGGAGUUUUUUAUUAAUUAAUGCAUAAAAAAUAUUCCACUUUGGGCUGCAUUGCAAAUGUCUUCCGGUAUGUAGUCGCGCAGCAGUGAUGGCAUCAUUGCCUUGAAUUGCUCCACAUUCAUGGGGCUUACAUCUGAAGCUUGGAUCUUGUACCCGUCAACUUAACUCCACGAAAUUAUUUACUAAAAUAAGAAAUAAAUCAAAACAUUUGAUAUUGUCAAACUAUUCUUUUAUAGAUAAAAGGCUAAAGUUAGGAAUAUCUUGAGGUUUAAGACUCUGAGAUUUGUCAGGCAAUAAAACUAUAAAACACAAGCUAUAGUGGAAGCUCAUACAUACAGUCAAUCUAAAUAAAUCAAUCGGUUUAUCCAUAAAAGUUUUAAAUUGUAUUUAAUUUAACCAAAACCUUUUACAUUUGUUAUAUGGUUAAAUUUUCGUUUAAAAUAUUGCAAGAAUAAAUAACAUCCAAUGUUUUGGUUUGAAUUUGAAAUUAUCUCAUCGUUGAAUGCCCCUUGGUUUUUUAUUAAUAUUAGUAUAUCUAAGACACAUUAUUCUAUAUUAUGGGUAAACAAAAUAAGCUGCACUUUGGGUAAGCUCCAGAUUUUAUACUAGUUUGAAGCUUUACGAAUUCCGUCAUUCUGCUAUUCCGCAUCAACUUCUACAAGUGCUAUUUGGGUAAAGGGAUUUACAUCACACACUUAACUUCGUAAAGACGACUGCUCCUCUUGCUUUGUAUAAUGCAUUUGAAAGAGUUGUUAUUUAUUUUAUCCCAAUCGGAAAACUUUCCAAACAGGAGUCAAAGCGCUUAUACUUUCUCCAUUUUCAUUUUCUUACGACGCAAUCUGGUACAAAUCCGAAGACGAAAAUUCAGUUAGCAAAUUUCAGAUCGAUACCACAUAAUUCCAACAUUUUUCUUUUAAUUUCGGUUUGGGGAAAGUUUCCAUUCUUGUCCAGUUUUAAUAACGUUUUGGUUUAUUCACAUGCUAAGCAAAUUAACUUUUGUCAUGAUCAAUAAUUAUACAUACAAACAUAUAUCCCCCGCAAUAAUAUUUAUUUAUUUAAAUAUACGUCAGCUCUUACAUGAAUACAUGUGUGUACAAAAAUGUGCUUAUUUACAAAUAUGUACUGACAAAACUAUAUACAGUAUGCAUUAGUCAUAUGUUAUGAAAUGUUAUUUAAAUUGUGAUUCCUUGCUUCUCCGCUUCUUUCUUAUAUUUUGCUGCAUAUAUACCCUCAGGGUCAUACUUAG